UACGUAGGGUGCAAGCGUUGUCCGGAAUUAUUGGGCGUAAAGAGCUCGUAGGCGGUUUGUCGCGUCUGCUGUGAAAACCCGAGGCUCAACCUCGGGCCUGCAGUGGGUACGGGCAGACUAGAGUGCGGUAGGGGAGAUUGGAAUUCCUGGUGUAGCGGUGGAAUGCGCAGAUAUCAGGAGGAACACCAAUGGCGAAGGCAGAUCUCUGGGCCGUAACUGACGCUGAGGAGCGAAGGCAUGGGGAGCGAUCCGG
rnacentral:rRNA from 1 species